AUUGAACGCUGGCGGCAGGCCUAACACAUGCAAGUCGAGCGGCAGCGGGAAAGUAGCUUGCUACUUUUGCCGGCGAGCGGCGGACGGGUGAGUAAUGCCUGGGAAAUUGCCCAGUCGAGGGGGAUAACAGUUGGAAACGACUGCUAAUACCGCAUACGCCCUACGGGGGAAAGCAGGGGACCUUCGGGCCUUGCGCGAUUGGAUAUGCCCAGGUGGGAUUAGCUAGUUGGUGAGGUAAUGGCUCACCAAGGCGACGAUCCCUAGCUGGUCUGAGAGGAUGGUCAGCCACACUGGAACUGGGACACGGUCCAGACUCCUACGGGAGGCAGCAGUGGGGAAUAUUGCACAAUGGGGGAAACCCUGAUGCAGCCAUGCCGCGUGUGUGAAGAAGGCCUUCGGGUUGUAAAGCACUUUCAGCGAGGAGGAAAGGUCAGUAGCUAAUAUCUGCUGACUGUGACGUUACUCGCAGAAGAAGCACCGGCUAACUCCGUGCCAGCCGCCGCCGUAACAC
rnacentral:rRNA from 1 species